GCAGCAGCCACGGGAAUACGGAGGGUGCAAGCGUUAAUCGGAAUUACUGGGCGUAAAGCGCACGCAGGCGGUCUGACAAGUCAGAUGUGAAAUCCCCGGGCUUAACCUGGGAACUGCAUUUGAAACUGUCAGGCUGGAGUCUUGUAGAGGGGGGUGGAAUUCCAGGUGUAGCGGUGAAAUGCGUAGAGAUCUGGAGGAAUACCGGUGGCGAAGGCGGCCCCCUGGACAAAGACUGACGCUCAGGUGCGAAAGCGUGGGGAGCAAACAGGAUUAGAUACCCCAGUAGUCCCUGUCUCUUAUAC
rnacentral:rRNA from 1 species